CUGUCGGGUCCCUGGAUGAGAAGGAGCUGACAGCAGCCGAGCCCCACCUUCUCUGUGUGCUGGGGAGCGGGGC
ensembl:lncRNA